rnacentral:rRNA from 1 species
CGAGUCCGAGGAGCUACGGCUCUUAAGUGAUACGAGUCAAACUUCCCAGAAAAGCCCGAACCACGUUAAUUUCUAAUUACCUGUACCCGAAACCGACACAGGUGGGUAGGUAGAGUAUACUAAGGGGCGCGAGAUAACUCUCUCUAAGGAACUCGGCAAAAUGACUCCGUAACUUCGGGAGAAGGAGUGCCUUAUUUAUAAGGUUGCAAUAACAAGAUCCAAGCAACUGUUUAUCAAAAACACAGGUCUCCGCUAAGUCGUAAGACGAUGUAUGGGGGCUGACGCCUGCCCAGUGCCAGAAGGUUAAAGAAGUUGGUUAGUGUAUGCGAAGCUGAUGACUGAAGCCCUGGUGAACGGCGGCCGUAACAAUAACGGUCCUAAGGUAGCGAAAUUCCUUGUCGGGUAAGUUCCGACCCGCACGAAAGGCGUAAUGAUUUGGAUACUGUCUCGGAGAGAGGCUCGGUGAAAUAGACUUGUCUGUGAAGAUGCGGACUACCUGCACCAGGACAGAAAGACCCUAUGAAGCUUUACUGUAACUUGAAAUUGGAAUUGGACUUUGCUUGCGCAGUAUAGGUGGGAAGCGUUGAAGAUAUUCUUGCGGGAGUAUUGGAGCUAUCAGUGAGAUACCACUCUUGUAAUGUUAGAUUUCUAACUUUGAACCAUAAUCUGGUCAAAGAACAGUUUCAGGUGGGCAGUUUGACUGGGGCGGUCGCCUCCCAAAUGGUAACGGAGGCGUACAAAGGUUUCCUCUGAACGGAUAGAAAUCGUAUCUAGAGUGUAAAGGCAUAAGGAAGCUUGACUGUGAGACCUACAAGUCGAGCAGGGACGAAAGUCGGUCUUAGUGAUCUGACGGUACUGAGUGGAAAGGCCGUCACUCAACGGAUAAAAGUUACUCUAAGGAUAACAGGCUGAUCUCCCCCAAGAGUUCACAUCGACGGGGAGGUUUGGCACCUCGAUGUCGGCUCAUCGCAUCCUGGGGCGGUAGUACGUCCCAAGGGUUGGGCUGUUCGCCCAUGAAAGCGGUACGCGAGCUGGGUUCAGAACGUCGUGAGACAGUUCGGUCCAUAUCCGGUGUAGGCGUUAGAAUAUUGAGAGGAGCCUUCUUUAGUACGAGAGGACCGAGAAGGACACACCGCUGGUGUACCAGUUAUCGUGCCAACGGUAAACGCUGGGUAGCUAUGUGUGGAGUGGAUAACCGCUGAAAGCAUCUAAGUGGGAAGCCCACCUCAAGAUGAGUAUUC